UACGGGGGGGGCAAGCGUUGUUCGGAAUUACUGGGCGUAAAGGGCUCGUAGGCGGCCAACUAAGUCAGACGUGAAAUCCCUCGGCUUAACCGGGGAACUGCGUCUGAUACUGGAUGGCUUGAGUCCGGGAGAGGGAUGCGGAAUUCCAGGUGUAGCGGUGAAAUGCGCAGAUAUCAGGAGGAACACCAAUUGCGAAGGCAGCUCGCUGGGACGUUACUGACGCUGAGACGCGAAAGCGUGGGGAUCAAACAGG
rnacentral:rRNA from 1 species